UACGGAGGGAGCUAGCGUUGUUCGGAAUUACUGGGCGUAAAGCGCACGUAGGCGGCUUUUUAAGUCAGGGGGUGAAAUCCCGGGGCUCAACCCCGGAACUGCCCCUUGAAACUGGAAGGCUAGAAUCUUGGAGAGGCGAGUGGAAUUCCGAGUGUAGAGGUGAAAUUCGUAGAUAUUCGGAAGAACACCAGUGGCGAAGGCGACUCGCUGGACAAGUAUUGACGCUGAGGUGGCGAAAAGCGUGGGGAGCCAAACAGG
rnacentral:rRNA from 1 species